rnacentral:misc_RNA from 1 species
UGGUUCUGGCAUCGAUGAAGAACGCAGCGAAAUGCGAUAAGUAAUGUGAAUUGCAGAAUUCAGUGAAUCAUCGAAUCUUUGAACGCACAUUGCGCCCGCCAGUAUUCUGACGGGCAUGCCUGUUCGAGCGUCAUUUCAAACCUCAAGCUACUAUGCUUGGUAUUGGAGCUGCUGUAAGUCUCUGGACUUACAGGCUCUAAAAACACACGGCAGACCUUUUAGGCCUCUGAGCGCAGUAAACAUUCUCGCUUUUGGGUCCUAGACGGCAUCUCGCCCCAAACACUUUUCUCCAAAGUUUGACCUCGGAUCAGGUAGGAAUACCCGCUGA